GGGGCUGUAUUUUAGUGGUAGAAUCGGCGGUUCGGGGCCGCCAGACCUGGGUUCAAUCCCCAGCAGCCCCA
rnacentral:tRNA from 1 species